AUCAUUCCCUCGGUCGCCAUGUUUCCCAGCGCAGUCACCGCACUGACAGGAGCCCGGAGAAGCCGGAGCUCGGAGCGCGCCAGCCGAGAGCGCGCUCGCCUUGGAGAGCGCGACAGCGGGAGCGCGAGGUAUUGUGCUAUGUGCUGGAGAUUCAGAGAUGACUAAAGCAAGCAAGACACUGGAGGAGCUCAUACUCCAGAAGGGAGACAAGAAGCAAAUGGGAAAGCAGAGGCAAAAAGGGAAUGGACCAUGGACCACUCUCAUACAGCUUGUGAAUGGCAGCACCAAGACUGAAGCAACCUGAUUCUGGAGUCUAUGCUCUGAACUGCUAUGCAUG